UACGGAGGGUGCAAGCGUUAUCCGGAUUCACUGGGUUUAAAGGGUGCGUAGGCGGAUUAGAAAGUCCGUUGUGAAAUCUCUGAGCUUAACUCGGAAAUUGCGGUGGAUACUAUUAGUCUUGAAUAUUGUGGAGGUUAGCGGAAUAUGUCAUGUAGCGGUGAAAUGCAUAGAUAUGACAUAGAACACCAAUUGCGAAGGCAGCUGGCUACGCAUAUAUUGACACUGAGGCACGAAAGCGUGGGGAUCAAACAGG
rnacentral:rRNA from 1 species